GUUUGAUCCUGGCUGAGGAUGAACGCUGGCGGCGUGCUUAACACAUGCAAGUCGAACGAUGAUCUCCAGCUUGCUGGGGGGAUUAGUGGCGAACGGGUGAGUAACACGUGAGUAACCUGCCCUUGACUCUGGGAUAAGCCUGGGAAACUGGGUCUAAUACCGGAUAUGACCAUCUGGCGCAUGUCAUGGUGGUGGAAAGCUUUUUUGUGGUUUUGGAUGGACUCGCGGCCUAUCAGCUUGUUGGUGGGGUAAUGGCCUACCAAGGCGACGACGGGUAGCCGGCCUGAGAGGGUGACCGGCCACACUGGGACUGAGACACGGCCCAGACUCCUACGGGAGGCAGCAGUGGGGAAUAUUGCACAAUGGGCGCAAGCCUGAUGCAGCGACGCCGCGUGAGGGAUGACGGCCUUCGGGUUGUAAACCUCUUUCAGUAGGGAAGAAGCGUAAGUGACGGUACCUGCAGAAGAAGCGCCGGCUAACUACGUGCCAGCAGCCGCGGUAAUACGUAGGGCGCAAGCGUUAUCCGGAAUUAUUGGGCGUAAAGAGCUCGUAGGCGGUUUGUCGCGUCUGCUGUGAAAGACCGGGGCUCAACUCCGGUUCUGCAGUGGGUACGGGCAGACUAGAGUGCA
rnacentral:rRNA from 2 species